AGACGUAGGGGGCGAGCGUUACCCGGAAUCACUGGGCGUAAAGGGCGUGUAGGCGGCUGGGUGGGCCCUGGGUGGAAGCCACCGGCUCAACCGGUGGAGGGCUCAGGGGACUGCCCGGCUCGAGGGCGGGAGAGGGAGGUGGAAUUCCCGGUGUAGCGGUGAAAUGCGUAGAGAUCGGGAGGAACACCGGUGGCGAAGGCGGCCUCCUGGCCCGGCCCUGACGCUGAGGCGCGAAAGCGUGGGGAGCAAAGGGGAUUAGAAACCCCAGUAGUCC
rnacentral:rRNA from 1 species